CCUUCUCCUUCUCCUUCUUCUCAGUCUUGUCAGGUUUUGUCCCCAUUCUCUUCUACAUUUUCUCAGAGAACCAACUUUCAGCCUUGUUGGUUUGAUCAUCUCUGGUGUAUCUUUGUUUUGCACUUCUUUCAUUUCUGUUUUUUAUUAUUUCCUUCCUUUUUUUUAAACUUUUGAGUUUGAGACUUACCUCAUAUUCAAUCUCCUCUGCCCUUGAAGUAAUUCUUCAACUGCAGCUCACAUUUUGAUAUGAAAAAUUUCAUUAUUGUUUAGCUCUCAAUUUUUCUAACUUUUGUGAUGUUUUCUCUUUUGACCAAGAUGUUCUUCAGUAAUCUGAUCUAAAAUUUCCAAACAUAUAUGGGGUUUUAAAAGUUUUCCUGUUACUGAUUUCUAACAGAAUUUUAUUGUGGUCAGAGAACUUGUUAGUAAUUCUUUAUUAUUUCUUGAGCCUUGCUUUGGGGCCAGUAUGUGGUGAGUCCUCUAAUGACUGUAAAGUUCUAUAAAUUUCAGCCAGAUUUUUUUCUAAUUAUGCUUUUUAUUUAUUUUUUUUUAAUAUGAAAUUUAUUGUCAAAUUGGUUUCCAUACAACACCCAGUGCUCAUCCCAACAGGUGCCCUCCUCAAUACCCAUCACCCACCCUCCCCUCCCUCUCACCCCCCAUCAACCCUCACUUUGUUGUCAGUUUUUAACAGUCUGUUACGUUUUGGCUCCCUCCCUCUCUAACCUUUUUUUUCCCUUCCCCUCCCCCAUGGUCUUCUGUUAAGUUUCUCAGGAUCCACAUAAGUGUGAAAACAUAUGGUAUUUGUCUUUCUCUGUAUUACUUAUUUCACUUAGCUUAACACUCUCCAGUUCCAUCCACAUUGCUACAAAAGCCAUAUUUCAUUCUUUCUCAUUGCCACGUAGUAUUCCAUUGUGUAUAUAAACCACAAUUUCUUUAUCCAUUCAUCAGUUGAUGGAAAUUUAGGCUCUAUAAAGAACUCACCAAACUCCACACCCAAAAAACAAAUAAUCCAGUGAAGAAAUGGGCAGAAAACAUGAAUAGACAUUUCUCUAAAGAAGACACCCAGAUGGCCAACAGGCACAUGAAAAGAUGUUCAACAUCACUCCUCAUCAGGGAAAUACAAAUCAAAAACCACACUCAGAUACCACCUCACAUCAGUCAGAGUGGCUAAAAUGAACAAAUGAGGAGACUAUAGAUGCUGGUGAAGAUGUGGAGAAACGGGAACCCUCUUGCACUGUUGGUGGGAAUGCCAACUGGUGCAGCCACUCUGGACAACAGUGUGGAGGUUCCUCAAAAAAUUAAAAAUAGACCUACCCUAUGACCCAGCAAUAGCACUGCCAGGAAUUUACCCAAGGGAUACAGGAGUUCUGAUGCAUAGGGGCACUUGUACCCCAAUGUUUAUAGCAGCACUUUCAACAAUAGCCAAACUAUGGAAAGAGCCUAAUUAUGCUUUUUUAUAUUUUCUUCAAAUUUGAUAAUUAUUUUCCUUGCUUAACCCAUUAAUACUAAGAAAAAUGUGUUUAAAUCUACUAAUAUAAUUGUGGGUUGUAAAUUCCAGCGAUUUUUAAAUUACAUAUUGAGGUUAUAUUGUUAAAUGUACCUAAGUUUAGAAUCAUUUUAUCUUUCUGGAAAAUUGUUACUUUUAUCACUAUAUAGUAGCAAUUUUUAUUCUUAAAUAGAUUUUGCUUUAAAGUGUGUUUUAGUUGAUAUCAAAUUAGCACUACUAGUUUUCUUUCCAUGAAUAUGUUCCUGACAUAAUUUUUUUAGCCUAGUAUUCUUUUGCUUUUAAUAUUUAUGAGUCUUUUAUUUUAGGACCCAGAUAUAACACAUUUUAAAGUAACAUAUAGAUGGAUAUUUUUGUUCUAAAGAUUUAUUUUAUUGAAAAAAUCAUUUUUGACAUUUGUUAAUUAAUUUAAAAAUAUUUUUACCUGCUUCAUCUGCAUUUUCUGUUUACUCUUUUCGUGCUUCAAUCUCCCCAUAUUAGUUACUUCUAUUGGUUUAGUUUUUAAAAAACUUCCUCACCAACAUACACUGAUUUGAGUUUCUAUUCUAUAUUUUUACUUAAAACAUUUUUUAAUGUUUAUUUUAUUUUUGAGCAGGGGAGGAGCAGAGAUAGAGGGAGGCACAGAAUCUAGAGAAGGCUCCAGGCUCUGAGCUGUCAGCACAGAGCCUGACUUAGGGCUUGAACCCUCAAACCAUGAGAUCAUAACCUGAGACAAAGUCAGAUACUUAACCGACUGAGCCACCCAGACGCCCCAUCUUUACUUAAAAAAAAAUCAAAACACAACACUUUUAUUGCAAAAUAAUUUAAGACUUACAAAAAAUGAGCUUCAAAAAUAGUAUAAAACAUUCUGUAUUCUUCCUCUUCAUCUAGCUUCUCCAAAUAUUAAUAUCUCACAUAGACAUAGUACAAUGGCCACAACCAGCAAGUUAACAUUGAUACAAUAUAUUAUUAAUUCAUCUACAGAUCUUAUUCAAACUUCACUGAUUGUCUCACUGAUGUUCUUUUCUCUGUUUCAGGAUCCAAUCCCGGAUCACACGUUGCAUGUUAACUACAUCUCCAAUUUGAGACAAGGCCUCAGUCUUUGUCUUCCAUGACUUGACACUUCUGAACAGUAUUAGUCUCCAUGUGCUGUCCAGUUGUUCCAGCACCAUUUGGUGAAAGGAUUAUCUUCUCUCCAUUGUAUUUCUUUGCUCCCUGUCAAAGGAAAGCUGCAUAUAAGGAUUGAAGAGCCAGGAGAGUGCCUCAGAAAGCCUGCCUAUGGCAAUGAUGCUUGUCUUGCAAUGCCAGAAUCAUUUCUAGAGCAUGCCACUUUCAUGGCAUACUGAUAAAGUCUUAGUAAAACCAAAUUAUUCCUAAUACAUUUUUUAGUAUUGAAGGUGGGGCUGACUUUGCUAACUGAUAUGAAGCCAGGAUGAUCACAUGAAUGUGGGUGUGCUAAGCCCAAAUGCUACCUAUGUGUGAAAGCACUUUUGAGUAUCUUAAUUCUUUUUAUGUUUUUGUCAAUUUGCUCCAAGUCCUGGUUUAUCUCUCAGCUUUCUGCUAACUUACAUUACAUUCAGCUUUCUCCUCUUAACCACUAAAUUCUUCUGUACCUCAAGAAAGUCUUGAAAUACCCCUUUCUUCCAAGAAGUUUCCCUUGACUUGUUGGAAUAGCAGUCCUUGAACCACCUCAUUUGGGUAUGGGGUUUUUAUGUGCCUACCCUCAAUUCUCUGAGCCAUAAAAAAGCACUUACUUGUCCCUAUUUUGCUUAAGUUUUAUUAUCCUCUAGCACUUAUAUGCUUCCCUGAGCCAUGUCACUUGAAGGACAGCAGAAAGUAUAUUUGGCUGGGAGGAAGAACUGGCCAUGGUUAAAUUAAAGGGCAAUGAGGCCAGACAACUCCGAGUGUGACACAUCCUGCUCUUACCAGCCUUGUAGUCUUGAAUUUCUCUCUUAGGUCCUGAUUUCCUCAUCUGUGAAAUGGACAUAAUACCUUCUAGCUCAUUAGGUUGUCAUAACACUAUUGGGAAGGCUAAAUGAGAUAAUUUGGUACAAUGUCUAGCAUCUGGUAAGCCCCCAACAAGUAGAGAAUUAGGUGGACAGCUGAUAAAUGCUUUCUGACAAUGAUUAGGCAAAUAUAAGGUAAACUAAAAUUUAAGUAUGUAUUUUGUGUGUUAAAACUAUAUAUAUAAAAGUGAUACAACUAAUGAAAAUGCUGACAUAAAGAUGCUUAGAGGAAAAAUGACAUCUAAGUUAUAUCUUGUAUUAAAGACAUUUUUUUUUGAGAAUCCAACCCAAUGUCUUAUUUAUUUAUUUAUUUAUUUAUUUAUUUUUUCAACGUUUAUUUAUUUUUGGGACAGAGAGAGACAGAGCAUGAAUGGGGGAGGGGCAGAGAGAGAGGGAGACACAGAAUCAGAAACAGGCUCCAGGCUCUGAGCCAUCAGCCCAGAGCCUGACGCGGGGCUCGAACUCACGGACCGCGAGAUCGUGACCUGGCUGAAGUCGGACGCUUAACCGACUGCGCCACCCAGGCGCCCCUUAUUUUUUUAAUAUAAAAUUUAUUGUCAAAUUGGUUUCCAUAC